UGGGGAAUUUUCCGCAAUGGGCGAAAGCCUGACGGAGCAACGCCGCGUGAGGGAUGAAGGCCUCUGGGCUGUAAACCUCUUUUAUCAAGGAAGAAGAUCUGACGGUACUUGAUGAAUAAGCCACGGCUAAUUCCGUGCCAGCAGCCGCGGUAAUACGGGAGUGGCAAGCGUUAUCCGGAAUUAUUGGGCGUAAAGCGUCCGCAGGCGGCCUUGUAAGUCUGUCGUCAAAGCGUGGAGCUUAACUCCAUU
rnacentral:rRNA from 1 species